UAAAAAUUGAUUUUUUAUUUGAAGAAGAUUUUUGUCUUGUACAUGUAUAUAUUUACUUAUAAAAGGGCAUAAAUCAUAUUUCUUGAAGUUAAUAAUAUCUUAAUUGGAGAAGCCGGGUGAAGAAGACGGGUCAACACGAAUCCAGUUAGAUUUGGGUUUUGGUGAUUCAUCAAAUUCAAAAGGGACUGAAGGUGAUAAUUGGAGAUCAAUUAAUGACGCAUAAAACAGCCUCUCUCUCUCUCUCUCACUCUCUCUCUCAAUGAUUCAAGUGAUUUUUUUCCUUUUUUUAAUACCAGACUGAAGUGAAUUUAGAAAUAGAGAAAAUUGACAAUUUGCCUGGAAUUAAUGGAAGGCCCGCGAACGUAAAGUCGUCGAAUAGUUGCUGCGCAAAGUAGACAUAUACAAUUGAAACGAUAAACAUUUUUGGAUAAGGCUUUGGCUAUUUUAGAGUUAUUUUAAAGUAAAAUAUGAAUCAUAAUUAUAUAUGUAAAGUAAUAAAUAAUAAAAAAUUUAUUAUAAUUUUAAUCGUAUGAUUAUAAAAAGAUGCUUUAUUUUAGAGUGAUUAUAACAUUAACAGACCCUUUGAAUAAUCGAGAUAGGUAACUUUGGAAAAAGAGAUUGGAAAUUUUUGCAACUAGUCCGGCUAAAUUAUAUUUUCUGUAUAUAACAGCCUACGAUAUGAUCACUCACUCUUCAAAACGAUAACACAUGUUAAUAAAACAAAAAAUACAAGACUGACUUGAUCGGUAAAUUUGACCGAUUAUAAUUGUGUUUCUUUAAAAACAGGUUCGUGGUAAAUGAUAACUGACCCACUAUAAUUGUAUUUCUUUAAGAAGAGGUUCGUAGUAAACAAUACCAACUAAAGGAUUAGCAUAAAAAAUUGAGUAAAGGUGUGAUAAAACAUCCAAUAUAAGGCAGUAGGUUGAAGAAUAAUGCUACAGUCACAUGCUCUCAUAAAUAUACAUCCCAUUCGAUACAUAUACUGAAUAAUAUUGGAUUUCAAUGCAUUUGAGUUGAUUUAAAAAUUUUAUAAUUAGUAAAAUUAUGGAUUUGACAGGGAUUUGUGCCCAAUUUAUACAAUAACGUUAGAUAUUAAACAAAGUCAAAAUUUAAAAUAAUCUAGACUUACGUGUCAAAAUAUUAAGUCUUUAUUGUUUUAUAAUUUGGAUGCAAAUGAGGGAAGGUAGAAUCAAUAAACAAGGAAAACCAUAUAAGCCAUUGAAUUGUUUUUAUAUUAAGAUAGUAGAUAGGUGGGAGCUACACCACCGUGAAACAUUUAUUAUAACUGUCAAAUCAUAACAGUAAAUAUAGAUUUGUACAGUUAUCAUCAAUGCUCUACGGUGGAGCAUCUUCAACAUACAUGAAUCCUUAUAUUAAAUAUAAAGCAUGAUAAUAGUGGAUGGGAAAAUGAAAAAGGUUGAUAUUUAUUAGGAAAUGAGUAAUUUAUUAAUUUAUUGAUAAAUAAGCACUUAUUAAUUUAUAGAAAAUUCUUUAUUUUGAGAAGGUUUUUUUUAGUAUAUGUAUACCUUUACUUAUAAAGCAAUACAAAUUAUACUUCCUCAAGUAAACAAUAUCUCUUCCAAUGAACUUUUGAAUUCAAAUAAUUAAAGUUGUAUGAAAAAUAUUUCUUAAUGUUAUAAAUUUUAUAUUUUAUUCAUUAUUAAUUUUGUAUUUGAUUAAUUAUUAAUUUUAAAUUUUCAUUGGGUUCUAAGAAUUAAAAAAAUUGUCAUCUAAGAAAAUUAUUAUCAUCUUAUGUAUUUAAAAAAAUUAUUAAUUUAUUACAUUCGCCCAAGUUAGGGUCGAACAUUUUUAUUAUUUAAUUAAAAAUAAUUAAAUAGACCCAGAGAAAACUAACCAUCUGCCUGAAAUUAGGGUAACAGAGCUGGGCUCCUGAGGUUAAUGUGCGGGCCCACGAUAGUAAUAAUCAUCGAAUAGUUGAUGUGCAAAGUAGACGUAUACACUUGGAAGGAUAAACAUUUUUGGGUAAACGUAAACGAAAUGGGUAAUUCUAGAAGAAGAUACUGAAAAUUUUUGCAACCGUUCUGCCGAUACAAGCGUUGUGGAGAGAAGGGCCGGCUCCGGCUAGCUUAUAUUUUCUGCACAUAACAAACAGCCCUGACAUGACGACUCAGUCAUUAAAACAAUAACACACGUUAAUAAUACAAAGAAAAAUUGAGGUAAAGAUGUGAUAAAACAUCUAAUAUAUGGCAAUAGUUUAAAGAAUUAAUGUUAUACUCACAUACUUUUAUACAAACCUACAUCCUAACCGAUGCGCAGACUGAAUAAUUUUGGAUUUCAAUACAUUGGAUUAGAGUAAAACAUUUUAUUAUUAGUAAAACUGUGGACUGGAUGUGGUUUAUAUCGAAUUUGCACAAAUAACCCCAUAAUAUCACACAAGAUAUCACUCAAAAAUCUAUAAUAAUCUAGAUUUAUGUGUCAAAAUAUUAAAACUUUGUUACUUUAUAAUUUGGAUGCGAGUAGAGUCAAUAAUUAAGGAAAUCCAUUUAAGCAAUUAAACUACCUUUAUAUUAAAUCUAAAGCAUGAUAAUAGUGGAUGAGAAAAAUGACUGAGUGUU
rnacentral:lncRNA from 1 species